rnacentral:rRNA from 1 species
UUCCCGGUUGAUCCCGCCGGACCCGACUGCUAUUUGGGUGAGGAUAAGCCAUGCGAGUUGAAUGGGAAACCUAAAGUUCCCAUGGCAAACUGCUCAGUAACACAUGAUCAACUUAACCUAUAGAGAAAAAUAACCUCGGGAAACUGAGGAUAAUGUUUCAUAGUUGAAUUGGCUUGGAAAAGUUUUUCGACGAAAGGGGUAAAAAAAAUGGUUUUUAUCUGCUAUAGGAUAGGAUCGUGUUCGAUUAUGGUUGUUGGUGAGGUAAUGGCUCACCAAGCCGAUAAUCGAUAGGGGCUGUGAGAGCGGGAGCCCCGAGAUGGGUACUGAGACAACGACCCAGGCCUUACGAGGCGCAGCAGGCGCGAAACCUCCGCAAUACACGAAAGUGUGACGGGGUUACCCAAAGUGUUCAAUAGAACUGUGGUAGGUGAGUAAUGUUCCCUACUAGAAAGGAGAGGGCAAGGCUGGUGCCAGCCGCCGCGGUAAAACCAGCUCUUCAAGUGGUCGGGAUAAUUAUUGGGCUUAAAGUGUCCGUAGCCGGUUUAGUAAGUUCCUGGUAAAAUCGGGUAGCUUAACUAUCUAUAUGCUAGGAAUACUACUAUACUAGAGGGCGGGAGAGGUCUGAGGUACUGCAGGGGUGGGGGUGAAAUCUUAUAAUCCUUGUUGGACCACCAGUGGCGAAGGCGUCAGACUGGAACGCGCCUGACGGUGAGGGACGAAAGCCAGGGGAGCGAACCGGAUUAGAUACCCGGGUAGUCCUGGCCGUAAACGAUGCAUACUAGGUGAUGGCACGGCCAUGAGCCGUGUCAGUGCCGUAGGGAAACCGUUAAGUGUGCCGCCUGGGAAGUACGGUCGCAAGGCUAAAACUUAAAGGAAUUGGCGGGGGAGCACCACAAAGGGUGAAGCCUGCGGUUCAAUUGGAUUCAACGCCGGGAAUCACUAGUGCGGCC